GACGAACGCUGGCGGCGUGCUUAACACAUGCAAGUCGAACGGAAAGGCCCUGCUUGCAGGGUGCUCGAGUGGCGAACGGGUGAGUAACACGUGGGUGAUCUGCCCCUUAUUUUGGGAUAAGCCUGGGAAACUGGGUCUAAUACUGGAUAGGACCAUGCUGUAGGUGGUGUGGUGGAAAGAUUAGUUUCGGUAAGGGAUGAGCUCGCGGCCUAUCAGCUUGUUGGUGGGGUAAUGGCCUACCAAGGCGUCGACGGGUAGCCGGCCUGAGAGGGUGGACGGCCAGAUUGGGACUGAGAUACGGGCCAGACUCCUACGGGAGGCAGCAGUGGGGAAUAUUGCACAAUGGGCGCAAGCCUGAUGCAGCGACGCCGCGUGGGGGAUGACGGCCUUCGGGUUGUAAACUCCUUUCAGCCAUGACGAAGCCCUUGUGGUGACGGUAGUGGUAGAAGAAGCACCGGCUAACUACGUG
rnacentral:rRNA from 1 species